rnacentral:rRNA from 1 species
UACGUAGGGUGCGAGCGUUAAUCGGAAUUACUGGGCGUAAAGCGCACGUAGGCGGAUUUGUUAGUCAGGGGUGAAAUCCCGGGGCUCAACCUCGGAACUGCCUUUGAUACUGCAAAUCUCGAGUCCGAUAGAGGUGGGUGGAAUUCCUAGUGUAGAGGUGAAAUUCGUAGAUAUUAGGAAGAACACCGGUGGCGAAGGCGGCCCACUGGAUCGGUACUGACGCUGAGGUGCGAAAGCGUGGGGAGCAAACAGG